rnacentral:rRNA from 1 species
GAUGAACGCUAGCGGCAGGCUUAACACAUGCAAGUCGAGGGGCAGCGCGGUGUAGCAAUACACUGGCGGCGACCGGCGCACGGGUGCGUAACACGUAUGCAACCUUCCCGUCACUGGGGCAUAGCCCGGAGAAAUCCGGAUUAACACCCCAUAAUUCCCUGGAGGGCAUCUUCCGGGGCUGAAAAUUCCGAUGGUGGCGGAUGGGCAUGCGCCCGAUUAGCUAGNGGUGAGGUAACGGCUCACCAAGGCUACGAUCGGUAGGGGGCCUGAGAGGGUUAUCCCCCACACUGGUACUGAGACACGGACCAGACUCCUACGGGAGGCAGCAGUGAGGAAUAUUGCGCAAUGGAGGCAACUCUGACGCAGCCAUG